GGAUUGUGGCUCAGCGGUAGAGCACUCGCCUAGCAUACCCAGGGCCCUGGGUUCAAUCCUCAGCACCA
rnacentral:tRNA from 1 species